CUUGGGGAUGCAACUUCUAGCUUCUUUUCUUAUAGGUACGUUAUUGCAAAUCAAUCUGGACCAAGUUUGAUAUAUUUUGACUGUGCUGCUGCAUUAAAAUCAAACUGAUUCCUGUGUUCAACCCUCGAGUCAGCAUUGACGAAGCCUGUCUGCAGCCUUCCUCGCAAUAUACAGGGUCCGACAAAUCGAAAGCGCUACCACCAUGGACGCCUACCCAAUCUUGGUCCUCCUGAUCCUGGGUCAUCUGUGCCGUAAGCAAUCCUGCUGUACAGAUCGUAUAUCGGAUGACUUCAUCGUUCAACAAGCGGGAAGCCUCACAUAAGAAUGCGGCACAUUCUAAAAUAUUGUAAAAUAGCGUAAGCCACGCCAGAGGAGCCAUCUACUAAAUUCCCUAACCAAUAGGUUUCUAUUUAGUGGUUCGACGGCGGCCAUGUGUCAUGGCUCAAGCUCUGCCUCCCACACAGUUUUGCAGUAGCAUGCGUUCACUCUUUCCUACUAAAAAUGAGCCAUUCGAAUUUUUAAAAUAACCUAAGCUUGUUCUAAAAUAUAUAUUAAGUCCUGACGCAUUCCUUUCUCUUUGUAUCUCAGAAAUUCAAGCUGCAACGUUGCACAAGCCCGAGAAAAACCCUGACGCACGGAGAAAAUAUCUCGUGGAAAAGAUUUCCCAGCAUCUCAUGGAUGAACACGAAGACCAUGGCGAAGCUCUAGAAGCACUGGGGACGUCGUUUAGCGCAGUGGUCGAUGAAACGGACGAGCAGUCCGUCACUCUCGUAGCUAUUCUCAUUGCUGCGGGAAUCGCAGGCGGAAUCAUAGGUGGUGCCGCAGGUGACGCUGCUUCAUCUGCUCUGUCGAAGGCAAUCGGUAACUAGCUUCGCUGUACCUCUGUUAUUCGGAUCACGACAAAUAUCCUGAACUGGUUGUUACGACAUCUAAAACUGUUAAGGUCGGUUUUACAUGCGACAUAUAUGUCGAAAUAAUAAACCCUGUUUCCAGAA